rnacentral:lncRNA from 1 species
CAAAGUUACAGAUUUCAAAGCAAAAGACCCAAAUUCACAUCUGAUCACCUGCUGACUGGCUACGUAACCUUGGGAAUGUUCCUUGGUUUCUCUGAUCAUUCCUGGUCCUCAUCUGUAAAACAGUUCAGUUAAUAGCCAGCUAGGAAGCCAUGAUGGGAAGCACUUGCAGCUAGUUAUAUAAAGCACUCAGCACAGUGCCUGGCGCAAAGGAAGCUUUCAGUAAGUGGUAGCUGGUGCUUAUUUGUGGCCACGGCUGAUUGAGACUGGAAGCUGCAGGGACUCCGGUGCGCGAUGGUAGAUGCUCCGUGAAUGCUGGCAAGAAGAGUGAGCAUGGGGUCUGGCCAAAAAGAGAGCUUCCUAAUGAGGCAUCCUGGAAACUGAUGGGAACUGUGUUCUUAUCCAUCUUCCCCACCUCUUGUGCCCCAUCAACUCAGAGUGGCCCAGAAGCCCAAAGCUGAGAGGACGAAGCUCAAUGGGGUAAGUUAACAUCACUCCAGAUCCGCCCCAGUGAAGACAGGGAGAAUUGCCUACACGUGAAAAAAUGUGACAAACUUAUUUGUAAAGCUUAUCUGACAGUUUUGUCUAUAUUUGAUACAUUCAUUCCUCCACAA